UCCCUGGUGGUCCAGUGGUUAGGACUUAGCGCUUUCACGGCAAUGGCCCCAGGUUCAAUCCCUGGUUGGGAAA